GGCUCUUUUCCAAGAAGUGGAUUUUCAUUCAAAGUUUUUUAUCCUUCUAAUAAGACAGUAGAAGAUAGAUCAAGAACUGUUUUCUGGGGGAAAUCUCAGGCCAGCUGUGGAGGUGAGCUAGUUCUCUUACAGGCCAACUCCUGACGAUGGUCUCACUCUUCUGAGAGCAAACUUCAAGGCUUUUGAGAUUCUUAAAGAUCAUCUGAAGAAAAUUCAUCAGUUUUCUGCUUAACUCUAUAUCUUAUGUGAUUCUGAUAUUACAAUAAAAUUAUGG
rnacentral:lncRNA from 10 species